GAAUAUUGGGCAAUGGGCGCAAGCCUGACCCAGCCAUGCCGCGUGAGUGAUGACGGCCUUAGGGUUGUAAAGCUCUUUCAGUAGUGACGAUGAUGACAGUAGCUACAGAAGAAGCCCCGGCUAACUUCGUGCCAGCCGCCGCGGUAAUACGAAGGGGGCUAGCGUUGUUCGGAUUUACUGGGCGUAAAGGGCACGCAGGCGGCCUAUCAAGUUGGAGGUGAAAUCCCAGGGCUUAACCCUGGAACUGCCUUCAAAACUGAUAGGCUAGAGAUCGAGAGAGGUGAGUGGAAUUCCUAGUGUAGAGGUGAAAUUCGUAGAUAUUAGGAGGAACACCAGUGGCGAAGGCGGCUCACUGGCUCGAAUCUGACGCUCAGGUGCGAAAGCGUGGGGAGCAAACAGG
rnacentral:rRNA from 1 species